UCCCAAACCUCAACAUCAUGCAAUAUAGCAUGUAACAAACCUGCACGGGUACCUCUGAAUCUAAAAUAAAAGUUGGGAUUUUUUUUAAAAGAAAUGAUACAAAUGGAACAGCAUUUAGAGAGUUCAUAUGCGAGGUGCAGAACAAUGACACUUGGAAGGAUGGAUAGAUAGAUAGAUAGAUAGAUAAUAGAAACAGACAGAAUUAAGGCAAGAGUUGAUACUGCAGUCUCAAAUCCAAAAUGUGCAGGUUGGAACUCAGGCAAGGUUUCUGUGUUGCCGUCUUAGAGCACUAUUGCUUCUCCUUUGGGAAACCUCAUUUUUGCUCUUAGGGCCUUCAACUAAUUGGAUGAGGCUCACCCACAUUACAAAGAGGAAUCUGCCUUACUCAGUCUAUUGAUUUAAAUGUUAAUCACAUCUAAAAAAAUCACAGCAACCCCUAGUGUUUUACCAAACAGCCAGGCAGUGUAGCCUAGCCAAGCUGAUGUGCAAAAUUAACCAUCAUACAAUGAGAAGAAGGAUUUCUCAAGUUCCCACCAUCACUUCUACUCCCACGGACGACAGUGCCCAAAUCCUCUCUCUUUCCUUAUGUUGCUGUGCGUCAGGCUUCUCAGCCUCAGCACUAUCUGUGUUGGGAGGAUCCUUCUCAUUGUGGGGAAGCUGUACUCUGCCUUGCAGGAAGUUUAGUAGCCUGUCUGGCCUCUAUCCACUAGAUUUCAGUAGCACCCCCACUUGUGACAACUAAAAUAUGUCUCCAGACAUUGCCAUCAGUUUUCCCCUCUUUGUUGGAUCAUUCCCACUAUAUACAAAUAUGCUUUGUUCUUUCCCCAAAAUAUCUCAUAGCCCACUUUACUUUUUAUCUAUCCCGUAAUUUCUUUUGUUCUGUUUGUAGUAAAAUUCCUUGCAAAUGUUUGUACUUAUUACCAAUUAUGUUGUUCUUUCUCAAAUUCACUUCAGAGUUUUCCCUUGCUACUCCAACAAAGCAGCUCUCAUCAAUGUCACCAAUGACCCUCACGUUGCUAAAUCCAAUAGUUCUUCUCUCACUUGUCUUAUGUGCAAUAUUUGACAGUCGAUCACUUUCUCCCCCUUGACAUAAUGAUAAAAUGAGAUCUUCCUCACUGUCUUGACCACAUAAAUUUUGAGUUCCAAGAUAAUCAGACCUUGAACCUCUUGUCUAUCACACUCACUCAUUUGAUAAUCUUAUCUAGUCCCUUAGCAUUUAAUGUCACUUACAUGCUGAUGAAACCUCAAUUUAUAUCUUCAGCCCAAGCUGCUCCCAUGAACUCCAGACUCAUACGCCCUUGCCCUUAGUUGUGGGACUUUGCAGUUCCUUCGUCUGGUGACAGCCCCUUGAUUUGGGGUUUGAUCACAUGACUUUCGUUAGCUGAUGAGAUGUGAUGGGAAGUCGCAGGGUGCCAGUUCUAAGCCUAGGCCUUAAGAAAAAUUGACGCUCCUGUCUUCCAAAUUCCCAUAGUGGUUUUACAUUCCAUGAAGACAUUCUCCAGUUAUCCUGCUUGUCCAAAGAUGGUAAAAGAGACAUUGGAGUAACUAGGACCUAACCAGCAGCUUAGAGUUAUGAACUGUGAGCUCAGCCGCACUCAGCCGAAACCAAGCAGCUCAGUCAAGAGCGAAUCAUGGCUUUUCUCUGCAGUCACUCAGUUUUGGAAUCAGUUUUUGGGAUGCCGGAAUGCUGUGUUACGUGGCAUUAUUAUGGCAAUUGUAAAUGCACCACAACUCCUAAUUUUCCUCCUGCACCUGUUUUGCCCUCAAUGAUCCUCAAUUCUGUGGAUAAUAAUUCCAGCCUUCUAAUUUCUCAGGCCAAAA
rnacentral:lncRNA from 1 species